rnacentral:lncRNA from 1 species
ACAAAUAAUUUACUAUGCAAAAGUAAAAUUCGUAAGAUAUAAAGUAUGACUUGUGCCUUGGGGCAUAAAGAUUUCACAAAAUUCCUGGCAUUAUUAUAGGAGAAUUGUUCUCCUGUGGUGGAUGAAAUGAGAUUUAUUUCAUCCUGACAAUGUCGAAAAUCUUGAAUAUGUAUAAUGAAUUAUUGUCACGUCUAUCUAGAUGACAAAUUUACAUGAAAAUUCUUAAAGAAUUUAAAAUGUUAUAAAGCGAUUCUAUUGAAUAUCUCAUGAUUAUAA